rnacentral:rRNA from 1 species
UCCGUAGGCGGGCCUGUAAGUCAGGGGUGAAAGUUUGUGGCUCAACCAUAAAAUUGCCUUUGAUACUGCAGGUCUUGAGUCAUGGUGGGGUUGCCGGAACAUGUGGUGUAGCGGUGAAAUGCAUAGAUAUCACAUAGAACACCGAUCGCGAAGGCAGGUGACCAACCAUGUACUGACGCUGAUGGACGAAGCGUGGGUAGCGAAC